rnacentral:lncRNA from 1 species
UUAUAUCACAUUCUCACCAAUUCUCUCGGGGUCAACUGUUUUCACUCAUAAUUCAGAGUAUGCAAUAUCACUCACAAGUUUGAAUAGUCUCUCUUUUCCUAUCACCUACACAUAACACACACACUUUUUAGGUCUUUCGGGUUGUAACUUGGCUUGGGUUAGGGUAUGGAUUAUUCAAACAAAAACGGAAAACAAGUGGGUUUUUGGUUCAGAGUCGAUGUUACAUACUGUGCUUGUUUCUCUUAUUUGCUCGGUUUUCU